ensembl:lncRNA
AUGACAGCAAACACAACAGGCAGAAUCAUAAUCGGUACACAGGCAGAAUGUCAGGGUAUCAAGCUGAGAAUCACAGUCCAAGAAACAAGCAAUAUAGUCCAGAAGGCAUGCAGCAGUAAUCGUAAACCAGGGAACAGACAAAAUAAGCAACAGACAGACAAUAGAAAAUGCUCAGAAGUGUAACCGUAGUACAACAAGACCUCGCCCUGAACACAAGAAAGCUAGCAGCUUAAAUACUAAAAUCCAAUGAGCUGCAGCUGGAGAGUAAUCAGAGUCCAAGGAUGGGGCUUGUGGGAAAUGUAGUGCAAUAGUCACUGUGUGUGUAUGUGGUUGUAGGAAGAGUGGCAGGUGCAGGGUGAAUGGGAAAUGGAGUUCAAUGGAUAUGUGAAGUCCAGUUUGGAGUGCCCUCUGGUGGCCAUGACGGGCACUCUCACUUGUGAUCAUGACAUAAAUAUACUGCUGUUGUUUUAAACAAUUUAUCAUUAUAUGGUGUAGUGAGCAGACAAUUGAUUGAAUUAGUAAAUUUCUGUUAAUGACACAGGAGCUGGUUAAAAAAAAAAACAUUUGAGUGUAAGAUAUGAAAAAAGAAAAAAAAAUCAUAUGAGAGGCCAUAUAAAUUACAAAGAACUAAAAUGUUCAUUGAAGGUUAUACAUCAACAACUUGGGAAACAAACAAAACAAGGCAAAGUUAUUUUAAAAAAGAGCUUACUAAUAAGUAAUGUAAUGUAGACCUGUAGCAGAAUUAACGUUACCCCAUUUAUAUAUUUUCUGAUGCUUGUAAAAAGGCCUGUUUACUGAAACCACAGUCAGAGCUGUGAGAUGAGAACUGCAACCACACCGAGCACAAACCACUGGAUAAAACUGACAACCAGAAACCACUGCACUGAAGAAAAAAAAUCUAUGAACAUAUGAACAUAAUUUACACUAGUGCAAUCUACAGUAAAAUAUUAUAAUAUUCAUAUAAUAAUAUUCAUUAAUUAAUUUAAUGUUUUAAAUCAGACAGAAAUAGAAUUAUCCAUUUGCACCCUGGAAUAUUUUUCUAUGCACUUUUUUACUGUCCAUUGCACUAGUGUAAAUUAUGUUCAUAUGUUCAUAGUUUCUGCUUAUAGUGUAUAUACACUUACACUUACAUUACAUAAUCAAUCUGUAUAGUAUGUUCAUAGUACACCUAUCUGUAUAUCAUGCUGAUUGCAUUUAAAAAUCUGCAAAUUAUGGCCAUAGUACUGCCUUAUAUGUAUAUUUAUUGUACAUUUGUAACAUAUUGUAGACACUGUAUAUCAUGUACUUACUGCUUAUUGCACUUCUGGUUAGAUGCUAACUGCAUUUCGUUGCCUUGUAUCUUACAUGGGCAAUGGCAAUAAAGUUGAAUGUAAUCUAAUCCAAUCUAAUCUAAUCUAAUCUAAUCUAAUCUAAUCUAAUCUAAUCUAAUCUAAUCACAUAUUUUAAGGUAACAAUUGCAAGUUAUCACUUUUUACAGUGUGGAGGAGCAACCCAUUAUCACUCAUAAGCAAGGUGUCAUUACAGUUUUUCC